ACAACAACAUUCGGACCGUCGGUCCACCGAGCAAUAUCACCCGCUCGAUGGAAGAUCUUCCCUUUGUCGUAAGCC
rnacentral:pre_miRNA from 1 species